CCCUUAGAUGUUCUGGGCCGCACGCGCGCUACACUGAUGCAUUCAACAAGUUCUACCUUGGCCGAGAGGCCUGGGAAAUCUUUCAAAUAUGUAUCGUGAUAGGGAUAGAUUAUUGCAAUUAUUAAUCUUGAACGAGGAAUUCCUAGUAAAUGCAGAUCAUCAUUCUGCGUUGAUUACGUCCCUGCCCUUUGUACACACCGCCCGUCGCACCUACCGAUUGAAUGAUCCGGUGAAGCCUCGGGAUUGUGCCCAGAGAACUUUAUUGUGAUUUGGGUGUGAGAACUUGCCUAAACCUUAUCAUUUAGAGGAAGGUGAAGUCGUAACA
rnacentral:rRNA from 1 species